AUGAGUAUAUAUUUUGGGGUUAUAUGUGAACCUGCUGAUAGCAAGACCAAGCAAAAGAAGAACAUAUAUUCCCUUUGAGUAGUUUAUAAUGACCUAGGGCCCUAGAUGACAGGGAUAGUAACUAUAAUUUUUGGGGAAAUAUGUGGAAAUGCAAAAGAAAAAAAAAGUACCUGAUGAGAUAUAUAGACACACACACACACACACACACACACAAAUAUUAACUCCCAAGUUUGAAUUUCUCUGGGAAACAGCCACAAAAAAAUGCCUCAACUGUUUGCUAGCAACAUUCAUGGUUUUAUAAAGAAUAUAUCAGUGAUGGCCUGCUGGAAUAUCUGUCUUAUCAUAACGAGACUGUGAGAGCUUAUCAAGUACAGGAUACCUGUUGCUUAGAUGAACAAUUCUACAAGUAUGGAUGAAUAUUUAUGUUCAAAAACUGGCUAUCAAAGAUGGCUGGUUUAAAACAAACAAAACAGUAUAGACAAAUAUUACAAGGCAAGAAUAGUUUGGAUGAUGAUAUCCUGGAGAAAAAAAAUCACAUUUAGAGAAUGGGACUUGUCCACUAUCCAACAACUUUCUCUUUUACAGAUUCUGGCGCAAUGAACAUCAAUAAAAGUGAAGUCUUGAAUGUGACAGUUAUUCACUUAUUUGUCAGGGUGGUGACACAAUUGGACAACCAGCAACCUUGGGUUGGGGUAGGGGAGGAGUACAAGGAAUGUUUCAAAAACACCCCUGUGCAUUUUAAGUGACAGCUUCUUCUGCUUUCUUCUCUUCCCACAGCUGCUGGGGGUCCUGCACCCCAACCCAGCCUAGAUGAUAUUCCCAUUUGUUGUACCUAAAAGCAGAGCUUCUCAACCUCCUUACAUUGUGACAGAACUAAAAAAUGACAUUUGUUCUACACUAUAGUAUGCAGAUGGGUAAAAAUGUGAAAACAAUAAGCCAUAAGCCCCUGUGCUUUGAGUAGAUCAUAUCCUGCACAACUAUGCUAGUGGCUGGGUAGCAAGCGCUGACCUAGAGGUUGCUCCUGGGAAUAGCAAAGUUAAGAUUAUCCAUAGAAUACAAAGAAAGAGUAUUUUGAUAAUAGUUGAUACCAAAAAUCUGGAGGUAGUGCAAAAGAAAAGAAAGGAAAAAAGAAAGAGCACAGCUGGACUUUCAAGAAGCUAUCUCUUAUAAUCUCAGUAAAAUUCUAUCUGAUUUUUAUUCUUGUAUGUAGUUCUGGAUUUUACAACUAAACCUAUCAUUACAAGGUUAUGGAAAAUAGAAGGAAUAAGAAACAUGAAAUAGAAAACCAGGCAAAUCAAAAACUCUAAAGGUGUAUCCAAAACAAUGGUGGACACCUGCUAUAUUUGCUUUAAAAUGAGUGGCACUGUUGUGUGCAAUUUAAGUUUGUUAAGGAGAUAUUUAACUUCUCUGAAAAGAGAAGAAGAACACUUGGUAAGCAAACCCAAAACGGUGCACUAAUAUUGGCAGGCUGGAGGUCAGAAAGAGCUUAUAAAAUAUUAAACCCCAAAGAAGGUUGAAUUGAAUAUGCUAAGAAAGGGUACCUUGUAUUAGUAUCUUGUGAUCAUGUGGCCAGAAGGAAAUUUUUUUUUGUUUUUGGAGGAAAACAACAGAGGCUAUAAAUGGUUUCACAUACACUUUGGAAAAGAACACCUUGUCUUCCCUCUACCUUUGUUCUCGGUUGGAAGAAAAAAAAGAUUAAAUGGUUGGCAGAGGAACACCUGAAACCCAUAAAUAAGUAGGGCUUUGACGGAAUUAGCAAAGGAGAAGCCCAGACCAGGAGGCUGGCUAAGCUGUGAGGGAGGGAAGCCAGAAACCAAGAAGAGCUGAAUGAUUAUGCUUCUAGUUAAGAGAGAGCAGAGAGAAAGGAAGGGAAUUCAGGGCUGUCUGAAGAAGGGGCAUGGUCACCGGAACCAAGAGACUGGAGGAUAUUCCUGGAUCUGAUUUCCUUUAUCCAGUUUCUCUCUGAUCCUCUGUAUCAGUCCUCUUUCCCUCUUCAUUUGUCUGUCAUUCUUUCCUCCUUAAUAACUUACUAAUUUCCCUCUUUCCCAGCCCUAGUCUCUUCUUGUUCCUACUCACUCAUCAUUCUAAAGUACUCUUACUUAAAAAUACUUGAUUAAAGUACUCUUACUAUUCUAAAAUAUUCUUACUAUCCUAGGAUAAUGUCACUCUUUCAAUAUUUCACUUUUCCAGUUCAUUUUUCAUUCAUUUUUGUUCAAAGAGACACUGGCAUUCUUUUACCCAUGUAAAUGUGUGGAUACUGGGCUAUAAGGUACCAAAGAGAGGGCCUCUGGAGAGUUUGAGGCAUCAUGCUAUAAAAGACAGCAAUGGUGGCUGUUUCCUUCAAGAUACACUCAUGACUUUAUCUAAAUAUUUCUAAAUCCAAAAUUUUAUGAAAAGAAGACAUAAUUAACUUGAUAGUUACCAAGUUCUCAUAAAAAGAAAUUAAAAAGCAAGGGUAGAAUAGGGGUAAUUAAUAUUAGUAGUAUAAAAGAGUCAAUCACAAGACAUUUAAUGUUUGGGAAUAUUUCACUCAAUUCUAGAGUCACUUUUCUAUGAAACCCAAAUAGAAAGGCAUGGGAAAUAUUUUUGUGAGAAAGCUAAGACAGAAAUGUUUUACUUGAAAUUAAGUCCCAUGAGGUAAUAAAGGGAUUGUGGUUAGGAGCUUACCAACCUGGGGCUCUUAGAUAUCAUGAAAUUCCCAAUUAGAUAUCAUUUUUCUUUUAAGGGGCUGGAUUCCAUUUUUUGUCCCUUCAAGGGAAGGAUCUAAUGAAGCCAAUGCUCAUGACAGUAUAAAUAGCAUGCUCUCUACUUUGAGAUCAACAGGCCAGAUUCUCUCUUAAUAAAAGUUUGGGAGGGGGAAUAUGGUUUUGUCAAGGUAACCCUGAUUUUUUCUGUGCUCUAUCUAAAUAGUUAAUCAUAUUGAUUAUAUAGCUUUUACAGUGGCCUGCAAAUUUUGGCUGAACUAUAUGACAUCUUCACUUCAGGGAUAUAGGGGGUGGGAUCUAUUCAUAAAAUGAUGCCAAAACGCAAUGUGUAAACAUUGUCAUGCUCAACUGUGGCCAAAGGCCUGUUGACAGACUAUUCUUUCAUCUAUUAACAGGACAGGCAGCAUUUGGCAGCAGUUUAGAGCUAAAUUGGGAGUGGGGACCCCUUCCUCCCAGCUACACUUCUGUAGCCCCAUCUCUCUCAGGACAUCUUUCUUCACCUCCAAAUUGUAAAAAUUGCUUA